UUAUUUGAGAGUUUGAUCCUGGCUCAGGAUGAACGCUGGCGGCGUGCCUAACACAUGCAAGUUGAGCGAUUUACUUCGGUAAAGAGCGGCGGACGGGUGAGUAACGCGUGGGUAACCUACCCUGUACACACGGAUAACAUACCGAAAGGUAUGCUAAUACGGGAUAAUAUAUUUGAGAGGCAUCUCUUGAAUAUCAAAGGUGAGCCAGUACAGGAUGGACCCGCGGCUGAUUAGCUAGUUGGUAAGGUAACGGCUUACCAAGGCGACGAUCAGUAGCCGACCUGAGAGGGUGAUCGGCCACAUUGGAACUGAGACACGGUUCAAACUCCUACGGGAGGCAGCAGUGGGGAAUAUUGCACAAUGGGCGAAAGCCUGAUGCAGCAACGCCGCGUGAGUG
rnacentral:rRNA from 1 species